ensembl:lncRNA
GAAUUUCUGCUUUGAUGUUGGUGUAGAGGAAAGCUUAUGAUAAUGCUUCUCAAAUUGUUAAAUAUCUGCACAAAUUUCCUAAGGGAUCUUCCUACAAGGCAGAUGCAGAUUCUUUAGGCCAAGGUCGCUGGUCCAUGACCACACUUUGGGUAGCAAGAGCCUAAGGGUCAGGGACACAUCAGAGCCAAAGACAGCCAAGCCAUACUGGGACUGAGGAUUGAUGCCCCAAAGUGAGAAACAGAAGGACAAAGAGAAUCAAUGGUGCACAAAAAUAGAGUCAGAGGCUGAAGUGGGAACAGAGAAGAUCAGGGUGACAAAAAGAGGGACUGAGAAGACAGAGUUAGAGACGCAGAGAGGGGCAAAGACAGAACCCAGAGAUGGAAGAUGGAUGACACAGAGAGACUUGCAAAGACACAGCCAGGGUCAAGGAGAGGAGACAAGGUAAAGAGUGAGGGAAGAGGGGCUGUUGGCUGUGGGCAGUCUGUGACUGGCAGUGAAGAUCACAGGUGUAGAAGGGACAAGACCUGCAGAUGCACAGACAUGAAAUCCCCCACUUUCCUCACCUCCCAGCCUUCCCACACCUGCAUCACUCUCUCCUUGCUCCUGCAGAGCAAUCCCUCCCAAUGGAACCUUCCACUACUGAUUUCCCCUUCUCUUGCCUGUGUACUCAACUGCUUUCUCUUAAGUGCAGCCCUCCCAGAAGGUUUUAAACACCAUCAAGUCUUUCCCAUUGAACGAAAAAAGGUCUCUCUUGACUCAUAUUUCUUUCUAGCUCCUGUCGUAUUUCUCUUCCUCUUUUUCACAGCUAAGGAAUUGUCUGCUUCCAUCACCCUCCCCAAACACUGCUGCUAAGCUUCUGUUGGCACACAUGUUGCUGAGUCCGACGGUCACUUUCCAGUCCUCUUUUGCUUGAUCUCUCCCUCCUUCUUGCUAGCUUCUGGGGCCUGAUAUUCCCCUGGAUUUCCUCUUGCCUGCUUCUCCUUUAACUCACCGUUGGUGAUCUGAUCUUUAUAUUUAGAGGGUCUUUAUAUUAGAGAUGGGUCCAGACUCCUCUCUUCACCCAGUGCUGUCUUUUCAGUUGACCUCUUCCAAAUCCACAGCCUCGACUGCCUUCCAUACACCAGUUUACAUUCCAGCUUGAACUCUGCCUGUACAACUAAACCUGUGUUUAUGUCUAAGCAAUGUCUGCUCACCAUCUUUACCAGGAUGUCUCAGAGGUACUACAAACUCAACGUGGUCGAAACCACAUUUAUAUUCUUCCUUCUUCUCCCAAACUGGUCUUCCUCGCAGGUUUCCCAUCUCAGAACACAGCACUGUCAUCUCGCAGGUUUCCCAUCUCAGAACACAGCACUGUCAUCUGUCUGGGUGUUUGAGUCAGAAAUAGAGAUUUCGUCCUUGAUAACUCCCUCCCCAUCUCUCCCUUCUUCUACAUCCAAUGCAUCACCAAACUCUGUCAACUUUAUGCCCCAAAUACCUUUUGAUUUUGCUCACUUCUCUCCAUUUCCACUGCCUCCACCCUAGUUCAAAUCUCCAACAUCUCUCACCUAGAUGACAGCAACAGCCUCCUAACCAACCUCUCCCUAAUCUGUCUUUCAAGCUACAGACACAGUGAUCUUUGCAAAAUGCGAAUCUACUUGUUUUGGCCUACUGCUUAAAACCCUUCAGCAGCCUCCCUUGGCUCUGAGAAUAAAGGACCAACUCCAGGCAAUCUUUCUAGAAUCAUCUGAACUCAUUUGCCCUCGAGACCUUCCAGCUAUACUGGCUUUCUUUCAGUCCCUUGGCCAAACUACUUUCUGCUACAGGACGAUUGCAUAUGCUGUGUCUGUAGAACUGUGCUGUCCAACAUGGUAGCCACUGGCCACAUGUGGUUAUCGAGCACUUGAAAUAUGGCUAGUGCAACUGAAGAACUGAAUUGCCAAUGUUAUUUAAUUUUAAUUGCCUAAAAUUAAAAUUUAAAAAGAUACAUCAUUCAGUUACAGAAAAACUGCUAAGUGUUCUCAAAACAACUUGGGUAUGUGUAUCUUCUUUUUCAACUUUAGUUUUUAUGCAGCGUAAUUACAGAUCAGGUAUUUCCAGUGAAAAUUUAGCAUCCAAAUUAAGAUAUGCUGUGAGUGUAAAAAUACACACGGAACAUUGAACACUUGGUUUUAAAAAUGUAAAAGAUCUCACUAAUAAUUUUUUUUUUACCUUGAUUGCAUGUUAAAAAGAUAAUACUUUGGGGCCAGGUGCAGUGGCUCAUGCCUAUAAUCCCAGCGCUUUGGGAAGCUGAGGCAAGAGGAUCGCUUUAGCCCAGGAGUUCAAGACCAGACUGGGCAGCAUAGUGAGACAUCAUCUCUAUGAGAAAAAAAAAAAAAA